CACCCUCUUCUGGGAACUGCCAGCCUACAGCUCCAAGAUACUCUGUGUGGGAGUAGAGAAGGAUUGGUCCAGAAAACGCCUUCCAAGCCAGCCAGUUGGCUGGAAGACAGAUAGCUGAAGGUGUCUUUCAGCAGGGGGAGCUGAGGCCAGCUCUGAGGCCAAAGCUUCUGAAGUUUAUUCCCUGUGCAACGAUAGCCAUCAACAGAGUCUUGAUCCAGGACCGAGUGGAACACAGGAUUUGGACCUGAUGUGGUGGACUCCAUCACACCAAAGCUGCAGACACAGACUGCACAUGGUUUCGCUGAAGAGUUCUGCCUCUUGGCACAGGCGUGCUGGAGGCAAACGAAAGGACUUCAGAUAAUGUGAGCUACUUCCAAGAGUUUGUGGGAAAAUGGAGUGACUAAGUAAGCUUAUUGGGAUGCAAAAAUAUUUGAAUUUUUUAUACUGUGCAUUUUCAUGAGCUUUUUAAAUGCCCCUCAAAGUAGAUGGAAUGAUUCAACCCUGAGUUUUCAUUACAAUGUCCCCGGUAACUUUAAUAAAAAGUCUGUGAGCUCUACUCACACCAGCUGGAUUAGAACCCCUGGGCACCAGCCCCCCACAUUGUUAUACAACACUCUGUUAGCAGAUGCAGUAAUAUGCUCAGACCUGCAAGCAGGGCUCCAUACUGGGCCCCAUGCCCCCCUUCUACACACUUUUAAGUGACUUUUGGAAGAAACUCUUUGGUAUUUGGGACCAUAUAGGGCUGGUAGUCACUUAAGUGGGGUCUUCUGAGCCUGGACUGGAGUCCGUGUACGUCUGAUCCCUGCUUUUCUUUGGGAUUCCUUGAUCCUUUGUGGGGGGAGUUCAAGCAAGAGUU